ACUAACUGGAGGACCGAACCGACUAAUGUUGAAAAAUUAGCGGAUGACUUGUGGCUGGGGGUGAAAGGCCAAUCAAACCGGGAGAUAGCUGGUUCUCCCCGAAAGCUAUUUAGGUAGCGCCUCGUGAAUUCAUCUCCGGGGGUAGAGCACUGUUUCGGCAAGGGGGUCAUCCCGACUUACCAACCCGAUGCAAACUGCGAAUACCGGAGAAUGUUAUCACGGGAGACACACGGCGGGUGCUAACGUCCGUCGUGAAGAGGGAAACAACCCAGACCGCCAGCUAAGGUCCCAAAGUCAUGGUUAAGUGGGAAACGAUGUGGGAAGGCCCAGACAGCCAGGAUGUUGGCUUAGAAGCAGCCAUCAUUUAAAGAAAGCGUAAUAGCUCACUGGUCGAGUCGGCCUGCGCGGAAGAUGUAACGGGGCUAAACCAUGCACCGAAGCUGCGGCAGCGACACUAAGUGUUGUUGGGUAGGGGAGCGUUCUGUAAGCCUGUGAAGGUGUACUGUGAGGUAUGCUGGAGGUAUCAGAAGUGCGAAUGCUGACAUAAGUAACGAUAAAGCGGGUGAAAAGCCCGCUCGCCGGAAGACCAAGGGUUCCUGUCCAACGUUAAUCGGGGCAGGGUGAGUCGACCCCUAAGGCGAGGCCGAAAGGCGUAGUCGAUGGGAAACAGGUUAAUAUUCCUGUACUUGGUGUUACUGCGAAGGGGGGACGGAGAAGGCUAUGUUGGCCGGGCGACGGUUGUCCCGGUUUAAGCGUGUAGGCUGGUUUUCCAGGCAAAUCCGGAAAAUCAAGGCUGAGGCGUGAUGACGAGGCACUACGGUGCUGAAGCAACAAAUGCCCUGCUUCCAGGAAAAGCCUCUAAGCAUCAGGUAACAUCAAAUCGUACCCCAAACCGACACAGGUGGUCAGGUAGAGAAUACCAAGGCGCUUGAGAGAACUCGGGUGAAGGAACUAGGCAAAAUGGUGCCGUAACUUCGGGAGAAGGCACGCUGAUAUGUAGGUGAAGCGACUUGCUCGUGGAGCUGAAAUCAGUCGAAGAUACCAGCUGGCUGCAACUGUUUAUUAAAAACACAGCACUGUGCAAACACGAAAGUGGACGUAUACGGUGUGACGCCUGCCCGGUGCCGGAAGGUUAAUUGAUGGGGUUAGCGCAAGCGAAGCUCUUGAUCGAAGCCCCGGUAAACGGCGGCCGUAACUAUAACGGUCCUAAGGUAGCGAAAUUCCUUGUCGGGUAAGUUCCGACCUGCACGAAUGGCGUAAUGAUGGCCAGGCUGUCUCCACCCGAGACUCAGUGAAAUUGAACUCGCUGUGAAGAUGCAGUGUACCCGCGGCAAGACGGAAAGACCCCGUGAACCUUUACUAUAGCUUGACACUGAACAUUGAGCCUUGAUGUGUAGGAUAGGUGGGAGGCUUUGAAGUGUGGACGCCAGUCUGCAUGGAGCCGACCUUGAAAUACCACCCUUUAAUGUUUGAUGUUCUAACGUUGGCCCCUGAUCGGGGUUGCGGACAGUGUCUGGUGGGUAGUUUGACUGGGGCGGUCUCCUCCUAAAGAGUAACGGAGGAGCACGAAGGUUGGCUAAUCCUGGUCGGACAUCAGGAGGUUAGUGCAAUGGCAUAAGCCAGCUUGACUGCGAGCGUGACGGCGCGAGCAGGUGCGAAAGCAGGUCAUAGUGAUCCGGUGGUUCUGAAUGGAAGGGCCAUCGCUCAACGGAUAAAAGGUACUCCGGGGAUAACAGGCUGAUACCGCCCAAGAGUUCAUAUCGACGGCGGUGUUUGGCACCUCGAUGUCGGCUCAUCACAUCCUGGGGCUGAAGUAGGUCCCAAGGGUAUGGCUGUUCGCCAUUUAAAGUGGUACGCGAGCUGGGUUUAGAACGUCGUGAGACAGUUCGGUCCCUAUCUGCCGUGGGCGCUGGAGAACUGAGGGGGGCUGCUCCUAGUACGAGAGGACCGGAGUGGACGCAUCACUGGUGUUCGGGUUGUCAUGCCAAUGGCACUGCCCGGUAGCUAAAUGCGGAAGAGAUAAGUGCUGAAAGCAUCUAAGCACGAAACUUGCCCCGAGAUGAGUUCUCCCUGACUCCUUGAGAGUCCUGAAGGAACGUUGAAGACGACGACGUUGAUAGGCCGGGUGUGUAAG
rnacentral:rRNA from 1 species